rnacentral:rRNA from 1 species
UAGGGAAUCUUCCGCAAUGGACGCAAGUCUGACCGAGCAACGCCGCGUGAGUGAAGAAGGUUUUCGGAUCGUAAAGCUCUGUUGUUAAGGAAGAACGAGUGUGAGAAUGGAAAGUUCAUACUGUGACGGUACUUAACCAGAAAGGGACGGCUAACUACGUGCCAGCAGCCGCGGUAAUACGUAGGUCCCGAGCGUUGUCCGGAUUUAUUGGGCGUAAAGCGAGCGCAGGCGGUUAGAUAAGUCUGAAGUUAAAGGCAGUGGCUCAACCAUUGUAGGCUUUGGAAACUGUUUAACUUGAGUGCAGAAGGGGAGAGUGGAAUUCCAUGUGUAGCGGUGAAAUGCGUAGAUAUAUGGAGGAACACCGGUGGCGAAAGCGGCUCUCUGGUCUGUAACUGACGCUGAGGCUCGAAAGCGUGGGGAGCGAACAGG